rnacentral:lncRNA from 1 species
CUAUCUGGUAGUGAGAUAUAUUGUGAUCUCCAUCACAAUAUCAUCGAAACUCUUUUCAAUGGAUUGGAAUAUUUCUAAUUCUAUCCUUCGAAGAUCAUCGAUCAUCAAAAUGACGUCUGAUGAGUCUCACAAUCCACCAGUGACACCUAACCGUAUAUAGUAGCAACCCAGUAGAAUGAAAGUAUGAAUCUUUAGGUGCAGUUAUCGUAUGAUUUAGUUCUUCUAUUGUGAGUUCCAACUUGAUAAAGGUCAUGAAGAACUCAUCAGACCCCAUCAUCAGUCAUAUGCUGAUUGGCUAAACUCGAGUUCAUUUGUGAAUUUCAUAGAAAAUUUUUUCUAAUAUUCACACUUACUUUGAC